rnacentral:rRNA from 1 species
GAUGAACGCUGGCGGCGUGCUUAACACAUGCAAGUCGAACGAUGAAGCCCAGCUUGCUGGGUGGUUUAGUGGCGAACGGGUGAGUAACACGUGAGUAACCUGCCCUUGACUCUGGGAUAAGCGCUGGAAACGGCGUCUAAUACCGGAUACGAGCUUCCACCGCAUGGUGAGUUGCUGGAAAGAAUUUCGGUCAAGGAUGGACUCGCGGCCUAUCAGGUAGUUGGUGAGGUAACGGCUCACCAAGCCGACGACGGGUAGCCGGCCUGAGAGGGUGACCGGCCACACUGGGACUGAGACACGGCCCAGACUCCUACGGGAGGCAGCAGUGGGGAAUAUUGCACAGUGGGCGCAAGCCUGAUGCAGCAACGCCGCGUGAGGGACGAAGGCCUUCGGGUCGUAAACCUCUUUUAGCAGGGAAGAAGCGAAAGUGACGGUACCUGCAGAAAAAGCACCGGCUAACUACGUG